UCAGAUUAUAUAGAUUAGAUACAAACUGUAUAUUUGUUCUCAGAUAUGGAUCUUUUGGAAACGCUAAAUGAGGUAUAAAAAAUCUUGGGUGAGAGAAAAUUGUUAAAGAUCUAAGUAUCUAACUAACGUAUUUAUCUUUGGUCUGACGACUAGCUAAACAUAAAAUCUGGUACGGGAGACGUCAAAAAAAUGCCGUCCACGUGCUUCAUAGGUUAUGUAUCUGUUGAAAGGCUACUAUUUCUGAAAUAGUGAAUGGAACGAGUUGGGGUAUUACAGAAAGCGAAAACCGCUCUUUGCAACCUCUAAUAGCAAAACUACUUGAUCAGGUCUCUAUUAUAUAUGAGGAAGAACAGGAAUAGCUCCCUUUUCAUUUUUGGGUUUCAUGCCAAGUUCUUUUGCUGAGUUUGAGUCUUGAGCUGUGACAGAGGUUUUUCUGAUCCGCAAGUGACUUUGUGUGAAGGUUGAUUGUUUCACCACUAACUAUUGGUCACGUGCUGCUGAAAAUAGGGUUUCACCGUAUUUAAUUUGUUUCGGAUUUAACUUUUGGUUUAUUUAUGUUACA
rnacentral:lncRNA from 1 species